rnacentral:rRNA from 1 species
UGCCCUAGUAACGGCGAGUGAAGCGGCAACAGCUCAAAUUUGAAAUCUGGCGCAAGCCCGAGUUGUAAUUUGUAGAGGAUGCUUCUGGGUAGCGGCCGUUCUAAGUUCCUUGGAACAGGACGUCAUAGAGGGUGAGAAUCCCGUAUGUGACCGGCGCGCACCCUCCACGUAGCUCCUUCGACGAGUCGAGUUGUUUGGGAAUGCAGCUCUAAAUGGGAGGUAAAUUUCUUCUAAAGCUAAAUACCGGCCAGAGACCGAUAGCGCACAAGUAGAGUGAUCGAAAGAUGAAAAGCACUUUGGAAAGAGAGUUAAAAAGCACGUGAAAUUGUUGAAAGGGAAGCGCUCGCAACCAGACUUCGUGGCGGUGUUCCGCCGGUCUUUUGACCGGUCCACUCGCCGCCGCGAGGCCAACAUCGUCUGGGGCCGCCGGAUAAGACCGCAGGAAUGUGGCUCCCUCGGGAGUGUUAUAGCCUACGGUGAUGCGGCGUGCCCCGGGCGAGGUCCGCGCUUCGGCAAGGAUGUUGGCGUAAUGGUUGCCAGCGGCCCGUCUUGAAACACGGACCAAGGAGUCUAACAUCUAUGCGAGUGUUCGGGUGUCAAACCCCUACGCGUAAUGAAAGUGAACGGAGGUGGGAGCUUCGGCGCACCAUCGACCGAUCCUGAUGUCCUCGGAUGGAUUUGAGUAAGAGCAUAGCUGUUGGGACCCGAAAGAUGGUGAACUAUGCCUGAAUAGGGUGAAGCCAGAGGAAACUCUGGUGGAGGCUCGCAGCGGUUCUGACGUGCAAAUCGAUCGUCAAAUUUGGGUAUAGGGGCCGAAAGACUAAUCGA